UUUAUUCCUGCACAAUAGAGAAUACAAAUAUAAAGUUAAAGAGGAUGAUAUUAUAAUAUUAUUAGAGACAAUGGCAGACCCACUACAAAGAUCAGUGUCGGUGCGCCCACUGGUCUUUGGAGAGGGGAUUAUCUUGCUCUGCCACUUGAGACCUGGGGCCGGCCGGCCCUGCUCGUGCCAAAUGAAGUAAAGGAGAUCAACUUUGUGCUGAAAUCUUUAAUGAUAAAGAGGAUCUUAAGUUCCAAUCAUCACGUGAAGUCACAAAUAUUGAGUAUCUUUUAGUAGCAGCCGGCCGAAGCCAUCUGUACCUGAUUAAUCAGGUUCUUAUUUUUAGACAGAAUUAUUGAGGAUGCGUACCUUCUCUGCCAUGAACAUGGCUCUGUUCCGGAUUUGUUGGAGAUGGGGCUGCUCGAUUUAACAUCUCUGUCGGCUGCUGGAAGUGGGGAAUCCUGAAUCUGACGGCGAGGACUCAGAUUCAACAUCCAAAUUAGGGGAUCCGGUGCAUCUUUCAUACGGAGACCCGCAGCUUUCUUCAUGGCUCUCGAUCAGCGUCUCUGCAACCGGAGCUACUCUAAAGUUACGGUGGAAGGAUCCACCUGAUAGAUACUCGCAUCCCGUCGAGAGCUCCAAUUGUUCUUCAUGUGGCCAACAGAAGAUCGUUUUUUGGGGAGAAACGGGGCAUGAUUUGUUGGAUCGGAAAGGGCUUGGAUGAAUCAUGGAAGAUUACUAAUGUAGAUUAGGGAAGGCAUGGAGCGAGAGAUUGUUUGAAGAUUUUGGUGCGCAGGGUAUGUGUCCACCUAUUCUUUUUUGUAGACAUCAAGGGUCCACCUAUUCAUUUUAUUAGACUAUAAAAAAACCUAUUCUUUUUA